rnacentral:rRNA from 1 species
GUGAACGCUGGCGGUAGGCCUAACACAUGCCAGUCGAACGGCAGCACAGUAAGCGCUUGCUCUUACGGGUGGCGAGUGGCGGACGGGUGAGGAAUACAUCGGAAUCUACUUUUUCGUGGGGGAUAACGUAGGGAAACUUACGCUAAUACCGCAUACGACCUACGGGUGAAAGCAGGGGAUCUUCGGACCUUGCGCGAUUGAAUGAGCCGAUGUCGGAUUAGCUAGUUGGCGGGGUAAGGGCCCACCAAGGCGACGAUCCGUAGCUGGUCUGAGAGGAUGAUCAGCCACACUGGAACUGAGACACGGUCCAGACUCCUACGGGAGGCAGCAGUGGGGAAUAUUGGACAAUGGGCGCAAGCCUGAUCCAGCCAUACCGCGUGGGUGAAGAAGGCCUUCGGGUUGUAAAGCCCUUUUGUUGGGAAAGAAAAGCAGCAGGUUAAUACCCCGCUGUUCUGACGGUACCCAAAGAAUAAGCACCGGCUAACUUCGUG